rnacentral:antisense_RNA from 2 species
CGUAGCGGUAGGACGGGAGAGGGACACCUUCGGGUGUGCUGGUUGUUGUACCAGUCCGCGAACCCUUUCUCGUUCUGCCACCAUA